rnacentral:rRNA from 1 species
CUACGUGCCAGCAGCCGCGGUAAUACGUAAGGGGCGAGCGUUGUUCGGAAUUAUUGGGCGUAAAGGGCAUGUAGGCGGUUGGGUAAGCCUGAUGUGAAAUCUACGAGCUUAACUCGUAAACUGCAUUGGGUACUGCUCAUCUUGAAUCAUAGAGGGGGAACUGGAAUUCCAAGUGUAGGGGUGGAAUCUGUAGAUAUUUGGAAGAACACCGGUGGCGAAGGCGGGUUCCUAGCUAAUGAUUGACGCUGAUGUGCGAAGGUGCGGGGAGCAAACAGGAUUAGAUACCCUGGUAGUCCGCACAGUAAACGAUGUACACUAGGUGUUGGGGUAAAACUCAGUGCCGGCGCAAACGCAAUAAGUGUACCGCCUGGGGAGUAUGCCCGCAAGGGUGAAACUCAAAGGAAUUGACGGGGGCCCACACAAGCGGUGGAGCAUGUGGUUUAAUUCGAUGAUACGCGAGGAACCUUACCUGGGUUUGACAUCAAGAGGGAUACUAUAGAGAUAUGGUAG